rnacentral:rRNA from 1 species
UACAGAGGUCUCAAGCGUUUGUUCGGAUUCAUUGGGCGUAAAGGGUGCGUAGGUGGCGCCAUAAGUCAGGUGUGAAAUCUCGGGGCUCAACCUCGAACUGCACUUGAUACUGUGGUGCUUGAGUACUGGAGAGGAGAUUGGAAUUUACGGUGUAGCAGUGAAAUGCGUAGAUAUCGUAAGGAAGACCAGUGGCGAAGGCGAAUCUCUGGACAGUUACUGACACUGAGGCACGAAGGCCAGGGGAGCAAACGGG